UUGGGGUAUUUUGGGGAUAUUUUGGGGUAUUCUGGGGUGUCUCAGGGAUAUUUUGGGGUAUUUUGGGGUAUCUGAGGGAUUUUGGGGGUUCUGGGGACAUUUAGGGAGAUUCUGGAUAUUUUGGGCUGUUCCAAGGAUUUCUGGGGUUUGGGGUUUUUUUUUGGGGGGUUUCAGGGGUAUUUGGGGGUAUUUUUGGGGUGGUUUUGGGUAUUUUGGGGUGUCUCAGGUGUGCUCAGGGUUAUUCUGGGGUGUCUCAGGUGUAUUUUGGGGUGUCUCAGGUGUAUUCAGGGUUAUUCUGGGGUGUCUCAGGGACAAUUUUGGGUUAUUUUGGGUUACUUUGGGCAGUUUUGGGCGCCCCGGGCCGGGCUGUACCUCGGGGUAACUCGGGGGUAUUUUGGGUUAUUUCAGGUGUCUCAGGUGUAUUCUGGGGUGUCUCAGGUGUAUUCAGGGGUGUCUCAGGUGUAUUCUGGGGUGUCUCAGGGACAUUUUUGGGUUAUUUUGGGUUCUUUUGGGUAGUUUUGGGCGCCCGGGCCGGGCUGUACCUCGGGGUAGACGCCGAUCAGGCUCUGGGCCUUGGUGUAAAACUCCUCCUUGAGGGAGAUGACGAUGGCCUGGAAGUUGGCAGCCGACUGCUCCUUGAUGUAAUUGGCCACCUGGGGACCCCAAAAACCGCCUUGGCACCCCAGAAACGCACCCGGCACCCCAAAAAACGGGUCUGGCGCCCCAAAAAUGGGGUAGGGAGCCCCAAAAAUGGG
rnacentral:lncRNA from 12 species